GUGAGGAAUAUUGGUCAAUGGGCGCAAGCCUGAACCAGCCAUCCCGCGUGAAGGAAGAAGGCCCUACGGGUUGUAAACUUCUUUUCUGUUUGAAGAAUAAGCUUGUCGAGACAAGUGAUGCCGGUAGGACAGGAAUAAGCAUCGGCUAACUCCGUGCCAGCAGCCGCGGUAAUACGGAGGAUGCAAGCGUUAUCCGGAUUUAUUGGGUUUAAAGGGUGCGCAGGUGGUUGAAUAAGUCAGUGGUGAAAGUCUGGCGCUUAACGUUAGGAUUGCCAUUGAUACUGUUUGACUUGAAUAUGGAUGAGGUAGGCGGAAUGUGUAGUGUAGCGGUGAAAUGCUUAGACAUUACACAGAACACCGAUUGCGAAGGCAGCUUACUAAUCCAUUAUUGACGCUGAGGCACGAAAGCGUGGGGAUCAAACAGGAUUAGAAACCCCUGUAGUCC
rnacentral:rRNA from 1 species